AGAGUUUGAUCCUGGCUCAGGAUGAACGCUGGCGGCGUGCCUAAUACAUGCAAGUCGAACGCUUCACAUAUGUGAAGAGUGGCGAACGGGUGAGUAAUACAUAAGUAACCUGGCCUUUACAGGGGGAUAACUAUUGGAAACGAUAGCUAAGACCGCAUAGGUGUCAUAACCGCAUGGAGAUGAUAUGAAAUAUGCUACGGCAUAGGUAGAGGAUGGACUUAUGGCGCAUUAGCUAGUUGGAGGGGUAACGGCCCACCAAGGCGACGAUGCGUAGCCGACCUGAGAGGGUGACCGGCCACACUGGGACUGAGACACGGCCCAGACUCCUACGGGAGGCAGCAGUAGGGAAUUUUCGGCAAUGGGGGAAACCCUGACCGAGCAACGCCGCGUGAAGGAAGAAGUAAUUCGUUAUGUAAACUUCUGUCAUAGAGGAAGAACGGUGCGUGUAGGGAAUGACAUGCAAGUGACGGUACUCUAUAAGAAAGCCACGGCUAACUACGUGCCAGCAGCCGCGGUAAUACGUAGGUGGCGAGCGUUAUCCGGAAUUAUUGGGCGUAAAGAGGGAGCAGGCGGCACUAAGGGUCUGUGGUGAAAGAUCGAAGCUUAACUUCGGUAAGCCAUGGAAACCGUAGAGCUAGAGUGUGUGAGAGGAUCGUGGAAUUCCAUGUGUAGCGGUGAAAUGCGUAGAUAUAUGGAGGAACACCAGUGGCGAAGGCGACGAUCUGGCGCAUAACUGACGCUCAGUCCCGAAAGCGUGGGGAGCAAAUAGGAUUAGAUACCCUAGUAGUCCACGCCGUAAACGAUGAGUACUAAGUGUUGGGAGUCAAAUCUCAGUGCUGCAGUUAACGCAAUAAGUACUCCGCCUGAGUAGUACGUUCGCAAGAAUGAAACUCAAAGGAAUUGACGGGGGCCCGCACAAGCGGUGGAGCAUGUGGUUUAA
rnacentral:rRNA from 1 species